AUUGAACGCUGGCGGCAUGCCUUACACAUGCAAGUCGAACGGCAGCACGGGAGCAAUCCUGGUGGCGAGUGGCGAACGGGUGAGUAAUAUAUCGGAACGUGCCCAGUCGUGGGGGAUAACGUAGCGAAAGCUACGCUAAUACCGCAUACGAUCUAUGGAUGAAAGCGGGGGAUCGCAAGACCUCGCGCGAUUGGAGCGGCCGAUAUCAGAUUAGGUAGUUGGUGAGGUAAAGGCUCACCAAGCCGACGAUCUGUAGCUGGUCUGAGAGGACGACCAGCCACACUGGGACUGAGACACGGCCCAGACUCCUACGGGAGGCAGCAGUGGGGAAUUUUUGGACAAUGGACGCAAGUCUGAUCCAGCCAUUCCGCGUGCAGGAUGAAGGCCCUCGGGUUGUAAACUGCUUUUGUACGGAACGAAAAGGUUUCUAUUAAUACUAGGAGCUCAUGACGGUACCGUAAGAAUAAGCACCGGCUAACUACGU
rnacentral:rRNA from 1 species